UACGAAGGGACCUAGCGUUGUCCGGAAUCACUGGGCGUAAAGCGCGCGUAGGCGGAUAUGAUAGUUAGAGGUGAAAUCCCAGGGCUCAACCUUGGAACUGCCUUUAAUACUUCAUAUCUAGAAUCCGAGAGGGGAGUGUGGAAUUCCUAGUGUAGAGGUGAAAUUCGUAGAUAUUAGGAAGAACACCAGUGGCGAAGGCGACACUCUGGAUCGGUAUUGACGCUGAGGUGCGAAAGCGUGGGGAGCGAACAGG
rnacentral:rRNA from 1 species